GUAGCUCAACAAGUAGACAAUGUCUUUUUUUUCAGUUAUUGAAAAAUGGGAUAUAGUAAUUGAUUAAUGUCUGACUAAGAUGCCCCUAAUGCAGGGCUGGCCAUCUGCGGGCAGUAUGUGACCCAUGCCCACACCCAGAGUGGCCCCUUGAAUUUUUUAUUUUUUUGGGGGGGGGGGGGGUCGGCGUUUGGUCAGGGAGGAGAAUCUCUAAACGUACCUGAUCCGUUAAUUAGUAAUAGCACCAUUCACCCAUUUACAACUCGAUGGCACAUCAAUUCCUUGUGAUUCCACCGGGUCUUCUCCAUCUAAGAUGAAUAAGAGUCCGAUGAUUUUCAACAUAUUUAAGGCGAGUCUUUGUCUCCAGUCUGCUUCGAAAUAUUGUCACUCAUGAUUGUUUUUUUUUUUUGAGUGAUGAGUCAUAGAAGACAAUGAAAGCUGUUUUCCUUCAGAGAAGACUGUGGCUUUGUUGUAUAAUUACCAGGAAGUGCACACUAGCUUGUUUUUCAUUUUGUGAGAUGUCAGAGACCAGUUUAGGGUGUAGACUGCCUUUCGCCCGAAGUUAGCUCAGAUAAAGUCCCAUGACCCAUGUGAAGAUAAGUGGCUUGGAAAAUUGAUGUAUGGCUGGAUGGAUCACACUUAGCUUCACAUGCAACAGAACUGACGAGAAAGUUACUACUGUCUGGCAAUCCGGACCAAACUCUGACACCGAUCGUACAGGGACCAAAUUAACAGCCCGUAUCAGCAGGUUUGGUACCCCAUUCUCCUGAAGCAUCGGCCACAGAACUCUCCAGGGGACACGGUCGAACGCCUUCUCCAAGUCCACAAGACACAUGUAGACUGGUUGGGUGAACUCCCAUGCACCCACAAGGACACUGCAGAGGGUGUAAAGCUAGUCCACUGUUCCACGGCCAGGAGGAAAGCAGCAUUGGUCCUCCUGAAUCUGAGAUCCAACUUCCCAAUGGACCUUCCUCUCCUGGACCUUUGAAUAGUCCUUACCAGGGAGGCUGAGGAGUGCGAUCCCACUGUAGUUGGAACACAGCCUACUGUCCCCAUUCUGGAAAAAAAGGGGUAACCACCCCAGUCUGUCAAUGCAGAGGAACUGUCCCCGAUAUUGAUUUUAUUUGUAAUUUUUUAAAUCACAUGACAUAUUGAGAACAAUGAUACUUUUUAAAAAAUACAAAUUUUAGCUGCAUGGAUCAUUGAAUGGGCCCUGGCACACCUUAUGCUAAUAAUUAGUUUCCUGUUUUAUGGUGAGCUGGGUGGCGGGACCAGUAAAGCCACUCUUUCCUCGGUCGCCAUCGCACUUUUUUCCCUUCUCAUCCUCCCGCUGCGCACGGUGCAGGAGGAGGAGGAGGAGGAGGAGUGAAUCCAGUAAACCGGUUGCAGUUAACUGAAGAGAUAAAGCACACGUGCGCGGCCCGGUGAACUAAAAUACCACCGUGCCGCUUUUGAAAAUCCCUUUGCGGGUGUUCUUUU